rnacentral:lncRNA from 1 species
AGCUCACCUUCAAAAGCCCACUCCAACAAGAGGAAGAAGAUGAGGAAGACGAUCACCACCUUUGUCUUCUUCUUCUUCUACUUCUUCUCCUUCCUCUCCUCAUCUUUCUUCUUCUCUUUCUCUUGCUCCUAGAGAGAGAGAGAGCAAUAUGAGUGUGGGAGAGGGAGAGAAAUAAGGGAAUAAGAGAGAGAGAGAGGUCCCCAAGCCUUUAUAAAGGCUAAUUUGCAAUCAGCCCCCUCAACUUUCCAAUUUCUGAAAAAGCCCUUGCUGGGCACUUUUCGCAUACGGGGACCGGUCCCCUCGAGGGGAGAGACCGGUCCCCGAGAGCUGCCCAAAAUCUGCGCGUACGGAAACCGGUCCCCACACUGAGGGACCGGUCCCCGAGAGCUUUCUCUGAAAACUGGGCUACGGGGACCGGUCCUCACCCUGAGGGACCGGUCCCCGAGAGCAUGAAAUCUGCUUCUCAAGCAGAUUUCACUCCAAGCUCUCGCAGGUCCGUCCUUAAUGCACUUGUGAUGUUUUUGAUGUUCUCGGACUUUCCGAAGCACACCAACU